AACGAACGCUGGCGGCAUGCCUAACACAUGCAAGUCGAACGAGAUCUUCGGGUCUAGUGGCGCACGGGUGCGUAACGCGUGGGAAUCUGCCCUUUGGUUCGGAAUAACAGUUGGAAACGACUGCUAAUACCGGAUGAUGACGAAAGUCCAAAGAUUUAUCGCCAGAGGAUGAGCCCGCGUAGGAUUAGCUAGUUGGUGUGGUAAAGGCGCACCAAGGCGACGAUCCUUAGCUGGUCUGAGGGGAUGAUCAGCCACACUGGGACUGAGACACGGCCCAGACUCCUACGGGAGGCAGCAGUGGGGAAUAUUGGACAAUGGGCGAAAGCCUGAUCCAGCAAUGCCGCGUGAGUGAUGAAGGACUUAGAGUUGUAAAGCUCUUUUACCCGGGAUGAUAAUGACAGUACCGGGAGAAUAAGCUCCGGCUAACUCCGUGCCAGCCGCCGCGGUAA
rnacentral:rRNA from 1 species